ACGAACGCUGGCGGCGUGCUAACACAUGCAAGUCGAGCGGAGUAUGUAGCAAUAUAUACUUAGCGGCGGACGGGUGAGUAACACGUGGGUAACCUGACCUACAGAGGGGGAUAGCCAUCCGAAAGGGUGAUUAAUACCGCAUAAACCGUAGCGCACGCAGUACGAAACGGCAAAGAGAUAUCGCUGUAGGAGGGGCCCGCGGCCCAUUAGCUGGUUGGAGAGGUAAAGGCUCACCAAGGCGACGAUGGGUAGCCGAUCUGAGAGGAUGACCGGCCACAUUGGAACUGAGACACGGUCCAGACUCCUACGGGAGGCAGCAGUGGGGAAUAUUGCGCAAUGGGGGGAACCCUGACGCAGCAACGCCGCGUGGAGGAAGAAGGCCUUCGGGUCGUAAACUCCUGUCUUUUGGGACGAAAGGAUGACGGUACCAAAGGAGGAAGCCACGGCUAACUACGUGCCAGCAGCCGCGGUAAUACGUAGGUGGCAAGCGUUGUCCGGAAUUACUGGGCGUGAAGGGUGCGUAGGCGGUAUAUUAAGUCAGAUGUGAAAGCCCAGGGCUCAACUCUGGGAGUGCAUUUGAAACUGGUGUACUGGAGUGCAGGAGAGGGAAGCGGAAUUCCUGGUGUAGCGGUGAAAUGCGUAGAUAUCAGGAAGAACACCAGUGGCGAAGGCGGCUUUCUGGACUGUAACUGACGCUGAGGCACGAAAGCGUGGGGAGCAAACAGGAUUAGAUACCCUGGUAGUCCACGCUGUAAACGAUGAGUGUUAGGUGUAGGGGGAGAAGUCCUUCUGUGCCGCAGUAAACG
rnacentral:rRNA from 1 species